rnacentral:rRNA from 1 species
UACGUAGGGUGCAAGCGUUAAUCGGAAUUACUGGGCGUAAAGCGUGCGCAGGCGGCUUUGCAAGACAGAUGUGAAAUCCCCGGGCUUAACCUGGGAACUGCAUUUGUGACUGCACGGCUGGAGUGCGGCAGAGGGGGAUGGAAUUCCGCGUGUAGCGGUGAAAUGCGUAGAUAUGCGGAGGAACACCGAUGGCGAAGGCAAUCCCCUGGGCCUGCACUGACGCUCAUGCACGAAAGCGUGGGAGCAAACAGG